GACAUGGGGGGCAAGCGUUGUUCGGAAUCACUGGGCAUAAAGGGUGCGUAGGCGGCUUGUUAAGUCAGAGGUGAAAGUUUUCGGCCCAACCGGAAAAUGGCCUUUGAUACUGGCGAGCUGGAGUGCGUGAGGGGUGACUGGAACGAGUGGUGUAGCGGUGAAAUGCGUAGAUAUCACUCGGAAGGCCAAAGGCGAAGGCAGGUCACUGGUACGCAACUGACGCUGAGGCACGAAAGCGUGGGGAGCAAACAGG
rnacentral:rRNA from 1 species